rnacentral:rRNA from 1 species
UACGUAGGGUGCAAGCGUUGUCCGGAAUUAUUGGGCGUAAAGAGCUCGUAGGCGGUUUGUUGCGUCGGCUGUGAAAUCCCGAGGCUCAACCUCGGGUCUGCAGUCGAUACGAGCAAACUAGAGUGUUGCAGGGGAGACUGGAAUUCCUGGUGUAGCGGUGAAAUGCGCAGAUAUCAGGAGGAACACCGGUGGCGAAGGCGGUUCUCUGGGCCUGUACUGACGCUGGAGGAACGAAAGCGUGGGGAGCGAACAGG